CUGACAUCAGACCAGGAGCCACCAAUGCUAAGUUGCUUCUUUGUUCACCAAGAACCAAUCCUUGGCUCCCGCUAGAAGUCAAGCCAUAUAAAACUCCCAGCCUUUCCCUUCUCCCACUCGGUGUUUUCUUAGCCCUUUCUCCAGGCGGGGGAAGCGUCGCCGGGGAGCACAAAAUUCCAAAAUAAAGCUCAUCUGCCUGUUUCCAUGGCUAAUUGGCUGUUUAUUUCCUCGGCGGGAUCUAAGAAAACCUUACAUUUGGUGCUGGAACCCAGGAGGAGUCAUUGUCUCCUGGAGACUGUUCCUCUCCCGGCUCCCUGAGGAGGCCUUAUGGCUACCUCACCAGUCUGAGCACAGAAUCAGGAGCUCUCUACCUUCUUUUUCUGCCUCUCCUGAAAAUCUUGUUUCCCUCCUCAUUCUCCUCCUCCCUCUGAGGGCCUUUCUCCCCUCCCUACCAGCCCCUACCAGCCCCUGCCAGCCCGCGGCCUUCCUCCGUCAGAGGCCUAUGCCGGGGGAAAAAAUGCCAAGGCUGUGCCAGAGAACUUAACCCUUUGUCUCCAGACGUUUGGAACACACCUCUGUCCUGAGCACAGCAGGGGGUGCAGCACGGCACUGCAGCACCCGGAGUUUUCGUAAUGCUGGCAAACAGCAGCUUAUGUUUCUCCAGGAAAAAUUCGUGAAGCCUCCCAGGUUACCUUCAACCAGAUGCUGCUUCAGGCCCACACCUACUUGCCCGACGGACCAGAAACAGCCGACCUCUUACCCCUCCCCUCUGCGCCCAUUCUGACAGUAUGAAGAAGCCAGAUAGACCACGACGCCCCUUAUCCCUAUACCAAAGAGGUCGGAAUGUCAGGAUGGGCAGGGUAGGACAAGGGGGAAUCUAGUUACAAUUAGCAUUUUGGACUACAAAUAUGGCCACCAUUUGGACUACAAGUAAUAUGGCAACUGAACUCUGACCCAGAAGAGGUGACUGA